UAACGCGUGGGUAACCUGCCUUGUACUGGGGGACAACAGUUAGAAAUGACUGCUAAUACCGCAUAAGCCCACAGCUCGGCAUCGAGCAGAGGGAAAAGGAGUGAUCCGCUUUGAGAUGGCCUCGCGUCCGAUUAGCUAGUUGGUGAGGUAAUGGCCCACCAAGGCGACGAUCGGUAGCCGGACUGAGAGGUUGAACGGCCACAUUGGGACUGAGACACGGCCCAG
rnacentral:rRNA from 1 species